rnacentral:rRNA from 1 species
GACGAACGCUGGCGGCGUGCCUAAUACAUGCAAGUAGAACGAGUUGCGAACGGGUGAGUAACGCGUGGUAACCUGCCUCAUAGCGGGGGAUAACUAUUGGAAACGAUAGCUAAUACCGCAUACUGUGAGAUGGACCUGCGUUGUAUUAGCUAGUGGGUGAGGUAACGGCUCACCAAGGCGCAGAUGCAUAGCCGACCUGAGAGGGUGACCAGCCACACUGGAACUGAGACACGGUCCAGACUCCUACGGGAGGCAGCAGUGGGGAAUAUUGCGCAAUGGGCGCAAGCCUGAUGGAGCCAUGCCGCGUGAAUGAAGAAGGCGUUCGGGUUGUAAAGUACUUUCAGCGGGGAGGCGUUACCCGAAGAAGAAGCACCGGCUAACUCCGUGCCAGCAGCCGCGGUAAUAC